UCUCUGAUUCAGCGGCGGACGGGUGAGUAAUGCCUAGGAAUCUGCCUGGUAGUGGGGGACAACGUCUCGAAAGGGACGCUAAUACCGCAUACGUCCUACGGGAGAAAGCAGGGGACCUUCGGGCCUUGCGCUAUCAGAUGAGCCUAGGUCGGAUUAGCUAGUUGGUGAGGUAAUGGCUCACCAAGGCGACGAUCCGUAACUGGUCUGAGAGGAUGAUCAGUCACACUGGAACUGAGACACGGUCCAG
rnacentral:rRNA from 1 species